UAGGCAUCCCUUUCAUGACUUCAGCAUUUUGAUGGUACUACCAUGAUAAAGAAACCAGCUCCUGUCACUUCUGGAAGUUGAACUUUUGAAGUUAGGUUUUUUUGGAUCUGUUUGUUUUCUUUUCUCCUGGAACCAUUUCACUUCAAGAAAUUGCCACAGACACUCCAGCCCUCGGCAACUGCCACCCUGAUCAGUCAGUGACCGUCACCAUUGAGCUCUGUGAAGAAUGCUGGUGUUACUCAAUGGAACAGAAUAGAGAACCUAGAAAUGGACCCACAAACGUACAGCCAACUAAUCUUUGACAAAGCAUGAAAGAAUAUCCCGUGGAAUAAAGGCAGUCUGUUCAGCAAGUGGUGCUGGGAAAACUGGACAGCGACAGGCAGAAGAAUGAACCUGGACCACUUUCUUACACCAUACACAAAAACAAACUCAAAAUGGAUGAAAGACCUAAAUGUAAGACAGGAAGCCAUCAAAAUCCUUGAGGAGAAAGCAGGCAAAGACCUCUUUGAUCUUGCCCGCAGCAACUUCUUACUCAACACGUCUCAGGAGGCAAGGGAAACAAAAGCAAAAAUGAACUACUGGGACCUCAUCAAAAUAAAAACCUUCUGCACAGCAAAGGAAGCAAUCAGCAAAACUAAAAGGCAACUGACAGAAUGGGAGAAGAUAUUUGCAAACGACAUAUCAGAUAAAAGGUUAGUAUCCACAAUCUAUAAAGAACUUAUCAAACUCAACACCCCAAAAACAAAUAAUCCAGUGAAGAAAUGGGCCAAAGACCUGAAUAGACACUUCUCCAAAGAAAACAUCCAGAUGGCCAACUGACCCAUGAAAAAAUGCUCAACAUCACUCAUCAUCAGGGAAAUACAAAUCAAAACCACAAUGAGAUACCACCUGACACCUGUCAGAAUGGCUAACAUUAAUAACUCAGGCAACAACAGAUGUUGGCGAGGAUGCAGAGAAAGAGGAUCUCUUUUGCAUUGUUGGUGGGAAUGCAAGCUGGUGCAGCCACUCUGGAAAACAGUAUGGAGGUUCCUCAAAAAACUAAAAAUAGAACUACCCUAUGACCCAGCAAUGUCACUACUAGGCAUUUAUCCAAGGGAUACAGGUGUGCUGUUUCGAAGGGACACAUGCACUCCCAUGUUUAUAGCAGCACUAUCAACAAUAGUCAAAGUAUGGAAAGAGCCCAAAUGUCUAUUGAUGGAUGAAUGGAUAAAGAAAGUGUGGUAUAUAUAUACAAUGGAGUAUUACUUGGCAAUCAAAAAGAAUGAAAUCUUGCCAUUUGCAACUACAUGGCUGGAACUGGAGGGUAUUAUGCUAAGUGAAAUUAGUCAAAGAAAGACAAAAAUCAUAUGACUUCACUCAUAUGAGGAUUUUAAGAGACAAAACAGAUGAACAUAAGGGAAGGGAAACAAAAAUAGUAUAAAAACAGGAAGGGGGACAAAACAGAAGAGACUCAUAAAUAUGGAGAACAAACUGAGGGUUACUGGAGGGGCUGUGGGAGGGGAGAUGGGCUAAAUGGGUAAGGGGCAUUAAGGAAUCUACUCCUAAAAUCAUUGUUGCACUAUAUGCUAAUUUGGAUGUA